UACGGGGGGAGCAAGCGUUGUUCGGAUUUACUGGGCGUAAAGGGCGCGUAGGCGGCCACCGCAAGUCGACUGUGAAAUCUCCGGGCUUAACCCGGAAAGGUCAGCCGAUACUGCGGGGCUAGAGUGCAGAAGGGGCAACUGGAAUUCUCGGUGUAGCGGUGAAAUGCGUAGAUAUCGAGAGGAACACCUGCGGCGGAGGCGGGUUGCUGGGCUGACACUGACGCUGAUGCGCGAAAGCUAGGGGAGCGAACGGG
rnacentral:rRNA from 1 species